rnacentral:tRNA from 1 species
GCGUUGAUGGUACAGUGGUAGCAUACUACCCUGCCACGGUAGAGACCCGGGUUCGAUUCCCGGUCAACGCA